GGACAAAACAAAAUUCACAUGUAAACGUUCAAAAUUCCCUUAAUUGGAAGCUUCUUUUAUCAUAUUCCUAAAGUCAAAUUUAGCCAUCUAAAACGGAAACAGAGCCAGCAAAAGAUGGUGAAAUGAAAAACCGAAAAUGAAAACAACAAACAGACUAAAUUUUCCUGUACGACGUGUGUUCCGAAAUCAAAGAUCCAAACACGAAUAAUCAGGCUCCAGAGCCAGAGCCAGAGCCAGAUCGGUAGCGGUAGAAUUUGCCGAGGACAUGGAGAGUAGUAACGAAUCCGAUGAAGCAUAGGCUCAUCACAAGGACGACAGUCGGGCUAAUUUUCAGACCUGGAGAAUCAUCGGUAUAGAAACGGAGCAUGUUGCUAGCGUUGCCGGAGCCUACUACAGGGUUACCACCACCACCGCCAGCGGUAGAGGAUGAAGCACCGAGCCUGCGUCGGCGCAUACCAGCUGUAGCGGCGGCGGAGCCACGGGGUGCGGCGGUACCCGGACGGGUUGUAGAGGAGGAUGUGGAUUGGGAAGAAGAGCCUCGUGCCAUUAUUGG
rnacentral:misc_RNA from 1 species